CGUUCACUGAGUCUUUGUGUGCCUUGCAGAGCUUGGUCCUCGCGCCAACCCUGGCUGGGGUCUCGUCCCUGUUUUGCAGGUCAAGAAUCUCCCAGCUUCUCUCGAGGACCAUUCCAAAAGUGACUUUUGUUCUGGAGGCUGGGAAGUCCAAGAUCAAGACGUUGGCAGGUUCAGGUUGCCGGGUGAGGGCUGCUCUCUGCUUCCAAGAUGGCGCCUUGAUGCCGUGUCUUCUGGAGAGGAGGAGCGGGGCGUCCCCUCAUGGCAGAAGGUGGAAGUGCAAGCGAGACAAUGACUGCAUGAAACUUCUCUUGGAAAAGGGUCUUAGUCUCCCUCACCAGGGAGGAGCCCUCAUGGCAUGAUGACCUCUUAAAGGUUCCACCUCUUAAUACUACCCCAUUGACAACACCUGAAUUUUGGAGGAGACACAUUCAAGUUAUAGCAUAGGAUAUAAUUGCUUAUAUACUAAAGUGCCUACAGUUUUCUUAGGAGUUUGCUUGUAUCUCAAUGUCUUACUGAGAAUAAUUUCCUAGAUUUCUUGUCUCUGUCUGCAGUGCUCUAAUUGUGUCGCGUAUGUAUCUGUCAGAUUUUUAAAAAGUCCCUGUAUUCGGGGAUCUUCCCAGAUAUGAAUGCUUAAAGUCUACUCCCAAAAAAGUAGACCGCCUAUGCCAAUUCUAUUGCUUAUAUUUAAAUAUAUAUAUGUGUGUGUGUUUAAAAUAUAUUAAGGUAUGUAAAAUCAGAAAGGUAUGUUUUUCAUAGCCUAUUCUGCGGUAGCUGGAGUUGGAGCUACAGAUAAGGCAGAGUGAGGAACUAACCAGGGAAAGCCAAUCAGUUGACCAAAUGAAAACGAUACAAAUAUUAUACAAAUUAUUUAAACAACAUAAAGAAGCCUAGAAAAUGCCAUUAUAAUCCUAAAUCCAACAUUCUUUAGAAGGAAAAAACAAAACUCAAAAUGUUUGCAAACAUAAAAUCCCAGCACCUAAAAAAAUCCCUGGCACAUUAAAAGUGAUCAGUAAAUAUUUGCACAAUGUUGAAUGAAUGAAUGAACACAUAAUGUACAUAUCUUUCAAAAAGUUUUAGGGAGCAAAGAUCCUUAGGCAGAGAUAAAGACAGAACCAGUAUUUGGCAGCAGGUUAAUAUGUAUCAACUUGGGAAUUGCAGAAGGUGAUAAAACAGUAGCUCAUGGCACCAGGCAUUCUGGUUGCAAAGUGUAGAAUAUACUAUAAAGCAUAUGUACUUCACAGGGCCUGGUUUUCCAAAGCCUUGCACUUUCAAAUACUGACCUUGCAAGGACAGGCAAUUUUCCUCGGGCUAUGCGCCUCUGGUGUGAGGUAAAGAAUUGUGGCACAGCAAGGUUGCUGGCUCAAAGACAGACUAGUUACUGAUUGUUGUGUAAAGAUACUGAGAAACUGCUAGAGGGAGAAGGAAUGUUUGUUAAGAUCAAAGCUUUUGUUGAUAGCCUUACUGGAAUGUCAUCUGGCUUGUUUCACUGAAAGUUACCGGCCUAUAUUGUUAAACUAUAACCUCACCUUUGUUCUCUUCCUGUACUUUCCUGGUCUGGAAAAUAAAUGCAGGAAGAGAACCCCAGUUCGGCAUUAAUUUUCCCAAGGAAGGGAUCCCUCUCGCUUGAGGGUUCUGGCGGGAAAGUUAACCACUUCGGGGCUUCUCACUGCUCGGAAGAGAUGGGCUUUGCGUCUCUGUCACCCAGGGGAAGUGGGGUGACAUAUCUGUGGGAGGCAAAGCUACACAAAGCAACAGCAAAGAACUCUUGGUUGGCUAAGUAGGUUUUAUAAACAACAAGAUAUUAAUUGUCCAUAAAGGAUCUUUCAAAGCAGUUUGUACCAUACUUCUUGACUACCAGGGAACUGGGUAUUAAAGUGUAGAGUGACUACUUUAGAAUAACUCCAGAAAGAAGAUCAAAGAAAGAAAUGGACACCGACCAAGGGAAAGGAGAGAAAAUUCCUAAUAGGAAGCAUGAUAACAAAUGAGGAAGAAAGUAGAAUAGGGAUAUUAUAUUUCCAGGUUGUUUUUCUUUUCAGCAGUUACUCAAACGUGAUGGUCAAAUGCUAAUUAAAAAGAAAUAUGAUUGAGCAGGAAUGCUAAUGGGGGGUGAAUUAUAAUGAUAUUUUAAUGUUUGGAUAUUCAUUUACAUAUUAUUUCAAGGAAAAAAAUUUAAAGCUAGUGCAAGUAGGUAAAUGAGAAACUAUUUUGAAGGCACUUUGAGCUCCUGGGAAAAUGCCCUGCAUACAUUGGAGGGUAAUUAUUAUUACAAUUCUGUUCUUUAGGCUUCCAGGAAACCAACAGUUAAAUGAUGCCACCAAACGCUUCAUGAAUGAAUCACUCUGGGGCUCAUUAAAAGUACAACAGUUGAUCAUGUAGUUUCAAGUUAUUAAUAAGUUCUCUGGUGAUCAUUACAGGCAUCUAUUGUU